rnacentral:rRNA from 1 species
UACGUAGGGUGCGAGCGUUAAUCGGAAUUACUGGGCGUAAAGCGUGCGCAGGCGGUUCGUUAUGUCCGAUGUGAAAGCCCCGAGCUCAACUUGGGAAUGGCAUUGGAAACUGGCGGGCUGGAGUGUGGCAGAGGGGGGUGGAAUUCCACGUGUAGCAGUGAAAUGCGUAGAGAUGUGGAGGAACACCGAUGGCGAAGGCAGCCCCCUGGGCCUUACCUGACGCUCAGGCGCGAAAGCUAGGGGAGCGAACUGG